rnacentral:rRNA from 1 species
AGUGAACGCUGGCGGUAGACCUAACACAUGCAAGUCGAACGGCAGCACAGUAAGAGCUUGCUCUUACGGGUGGCGAGUGGCGGACGGGUGAGGAAUACAUCGGAAUCUACUUUUUCGUGGGGGAUAACGUAGGGAAACUUACGCUAAUACCGCAUACGACCUACGGGUGAAAGCAGGGGAUCUUCGGACCUUGCGCGAUUGAAUGAGCCGAUGUCGGAUUAGCAAGUUGGCGGGGUAAAGGCCCACCAAGGCGACGAUCCGUAGCUGGUCUGAGAGGAUGAUCAGCCACACUGGAACUGAGACACGGUCCAGACUCCUACGGGAGGCAGCAGUGGGGAAUAUUGGACAAUGGGCGCAAGCCUGAUCCAGCCAUACCGCGUGGGUGAAGAAGGCCUUCGGGUUGUAAAGCCCUUUUGUUGGGAAAGAAAAGCAGCAGGUUAAUACCCCGCUGUUCUGACGGUACCCAAAGAAUAAGCACCGGCUAACUUCGUG